rnacentral:rRNA from 1 species
AAACCAACAGGGAUUGCCUCAGUAACGGCGAGUGAAGCGGCAAAAGCUCAAAUUUGAAACCCUCGGGAUUGUAAUUUGAAGAUUUGGCAUUGGAGAAAGCUAACCCCAAGUUGCUUGGAAUAGUACGUCAUAGAGGGUGACAACCCCGUCUGGCUAACCGUUCUCCAUGUAUUGCCUUAUCAAAGAGUCGAGUUGUUUGGGAAUGCAGCUCAAAGUGGGUGGUAAACUCCAUCUAAAGCUAAAUACUGGUGAGAGACCGAUAGCGAACAAGUACUGUGAAGGAAAGGUGAAAAGAACUUUGAAAAGAGAGUGAAAUAGUAUGUGAAAUUGUUGAUAGGGAAGGAAAUGAGUGGAGAGUGGCCGAGGUUUCAGCCGCCCCUCGUGGGCGGUGUACUGCCGACGCCGAGUCAUCGAUAGCGAGACGAGGGUUACAAAUGGGAGCGCCUUCGGGCGUUCUCCCCUAACCCUCCACACUGCCACCGACGACAUAAUCCACCCAUUUC